rnacentral:lncRNA from 1 species
AGUCUUCCACUAGCAGCCUUUGGAUGAAGAUGUAGAACUCUCAGCUCCUCCUGCACCAUGACAGCCUGGAUGCUGCCAUGCUCCCACCUUGAUGGACUGGUUGUUCUAUUUCUGAGAUCUCUGAGACCCAGCCCACCAGGAACACACAAAUGUGGAACCGAGAUAGGCUGAGGACUUAUUAAACAGAAUUCUGCUGUUCCUAUCCCAGGGUUGGACCAAUGUGUAGAAAAUUGCUUAUGGGAUUCUUUGAAUGACUUUUUCAUUGCGGGAAAUAUUAAAAAUGAACCUGCCAACCUUCCACACUCCUGCUUCUUUCAAGCCACCAACUCAAGAGAUCUGUCUCUGCCUCCUACGUGCUGGAAUCAAAGGUAUGUGACACCAUGCCUUGCUUGUCUUUUUAUGGACACUGAUUUUUAUCUACUUUUGAUAGCUGCUGAGGUAGGUUUAAAUCUGAGAAUCUGCCU